UUUUUGAAAACAUAACUUUCUGAUUUUUCUUUUUCUUCAUGGGAUUGCAUCAUGAAAGCAUACUUGUAUUUAUUCGAGGUUUCAUUAUGGCUGUGAAAAACUCUCUGAUUUCUGGCUGUAUGAGUUUCCUAAUUGAAUUCUUAAACUACUUAACUGCUCAGACACACUUUGUGCAAGCAGGAAAUAAUUAUAAGUAACAAUAACACAAUGUUAUCCUUCCAAUCAGUAUUUUUUCCUUUUCUUUUAGGAAUUCAUUACACAUCCCAUGUUAUUUCCAAGAACUUUAUUUAUUUUUAAAAUGUGAUUUGGUAUAUAUGAGGAAGGAACCUCAUCUCCAGUGGAUUUAGAAGAUAAAUUUUCAUAGGUUAGUGAGCACUGCUUUUAAUCCUAAGAAUGACAAAGCAACAUUUCUGCCACCUGUAAAAGUUAGUCCUUAUAUGAGUUAGUGUCAAGGAUGAAUUUAUAUAAUGAGUUAGUUACUGUCUCCCAAUCCUCAAGUUCUUGAUCUGAAUGUCAAAUUUUCACUAAUGUGGAAGCCAGAACAAAAAUAUCAAGCUUUGAGGGAAAACACUGUAAACAUUUCUUUGCCACCUAAAUGGUUUGUUUUUCUGAUUUGUUGUAAUUUUUACUGUAUUAGGUCUCCCUACUGCAUUCA
rnacentral:lncRNA from 1 species